rnacentral:misc_RNA from 1 species
GAAAUGCGAUAAGUAAUGUGAAUUGCAGAAUUCCGUGAAUCAUCGAAUCUUUGAACGCACAUUGCGCCCUCUGGCAUUCCGGGGGGCAUGCCUGUCCGAGCGUCAUUACGCACCCUCAAGCCCGGCUUGUGUGAUGGGCCCUGGCGUCUCGUUCGCGAGACGGGCCCGAAAGGGAGCGGCGGCGUCGACCCGAUGAGCCCGAGCGUAUGGGGACUUCUGUCACACGUUCGCGGUGCGGACCGGCGCCUGCUUGACUUUUCUGAUUAUCCAGGUUGACCUCGGAUCAGGUAGGGAUACCCGCUGAACUUAAGC